rnacentral:rRNA from 1 species
CAGCCGCCGCGGUAAUACGGAGGGUGCAAGCGUUAAUCGGAAUUACUGGGCGUAAAGCGUGCGUAGGCGGUUCGUUAAGUCUGUUGUGAAAGCCCCGGGCUCAACCUCGGAACUGCCUUCAAUACUGGCGAUCUUGAGUAUGAGAGAGGUGUGUGGAACUCCGAGUGUAGAGGUGAAAUUCGUAGAUAUUCGGAAGAACACCAGUGGCGAAGGCGACACACUGGCUCAUUACUGACGCUGAGGCUCGAAAGCGUGGGGGGCAAACAGGAUUAGAUACCCCGGUAGUCCCUGUCUCUUAUAC